UUCCUGUGAGGUGUCCACAGCUUCCUACAGCAGAAACACUGAGCUGAUCAACCUGAAAGUGAGCGUUCGGUGGUUAUUUGGAAAGCUCUUGCUAUUCGUUCCCGUGCAGCUUCCUAUAGCAGAAACACAGAGCUUAUCAUUUUUAACCUAUCAACCUGCAAGUGAGCCUUGGUUGUUAUUUAGAAGGCAGUCCCUAUUUUUCUUCUAGCAAACUCUUGCUAUUUGUUCCCAUGUGGUGGUGUGCAGCUUCAAAGUGCAGAAAAAUAGCAGUCAUCAACCUCCUACUACAGUCCUGUUAUUAGGAAAGGCAGCAUGGCUUUCAGAAUCUCUGAAUCGAAAAAAGAACACAGAAAAAGAAAAGUUACAGAG